AUGACCGUGAAACUUAGAAUACUCAUCAAGCAUCUAAGCCAUUGUCUGAGCACUAGUCCUUAUAUCAAGGGCAGGAACACCUCUAUGAAUGCCAAUGAGAUGCACAAAGCAAAACAAUAUCAUCAGUAUAUGUUUCAAUCACAUCCACUACAUUGCCCUCGAACAAUCGUCAUUUUUACGCCUCAAUCUCUUCUGCUGCCACAUCUAUUUUAUCAUACAACUCCACCAUAUCCACCUUCAAAUGAGAAGUCUUCGUCUCUCCGGUGUACUUUCUUUGUCUGA